UUUGUUCGGUAUGCACAUAUAGCACCGGCACCGCCGCUGCGUACCAGUGUAACCGGGAGAAGGAGAGACCGGGGGUGGGCGGGUGGCGCCAGAGGGCUUGCUCGUCCAACGCCGCGCGCCAGAGGGCGCUGCCUGGCGUCGCUGCGUCCUCGGCCGCUGCGUCGACGUUGCUGUACCCUCCAGUACAGGCGGCGUGUCCUCGGGGUAACCAAUGGCCGGCGCCUAGAACGGCGAUCUCCACCGCGGCGGCACCGGUAGCACGACCAGCCGCGUCGAAUGCUGCAUCCGAGAGGUGGAGGACGCCGUCGUCGCCAAACGCCGAGAAGCAUGUCCAUUGAUUACUGCUGUGGACGGGAAUAUGGCUAAUCGAAUCGGCGGCAUUCUUCUCUUCUCCUGUGGCCAUUUCUCAGCGGAGAGCAAAAGUGCUGAUAACGUGUUAGAGAGAAUCGAGAGAGAGGAGCGAAUGGAAAACAGAUAUAUGAAUGAACAGUUAUUCUAUUGAUUGAAGAUUGGGGUAUUUAUACCCAGUUUACAAGGCGGUUACAAAAGGAGGCAGUUGCCAAAAGUGGCACCGACAUAGCAGUGAUUAAUAGUUAAUUAACCUAAUUAAUUAAUUCCUAACACAUCCAACCCAUCUAUCGUCGCGCAAUGAGCGAUCUCUGGUUGUGUCCACGUCGGCAGGGUGGUACUGUUCGUGCUGGCCAAUUGGAAGGGAACGUUCCCUUCAUAGAAAAAAAAAAGGCGUGGUCGUUUCCUUCCUCGAGAAGACAGAGAGAGGACGCACGCCACCUCCUCCCCACCUUCGCCAGAUACGACCGCCCAUUCAUCGCCGCCACCCAUCGCGUCGCCCGCCCGCGACCUUCUCUCAUCUUCCACCCGCGACGGCUUCCCGUCCACCUUGAGAUGUACGGCGACGGCGUCCCGAUGGAGAACCCUGGCCGCAGCAGGUCGCCGGCGCUCCUCCGCUGCGCGCCCCAGGUGACCCCCACGGAUCCGCGGCGACCACCGAGCAGGACGAGGACGACGACACCCCGCACAUGGUCGAGCUCGACGGAAGAAGGUGCCUUUGUCGCUGUGGUCUUCGCCGGUGUGCUCCACGUCGUGUACGACGGCGACCUCCUAGCUCGGGCUCUUCGUCAAGUUGGUGAUGUUGCCUAGAGUAUCCCGACGACGACGGAGGAGGAGAACAAGGACCACCGCCCCCUAAGGGCUGACGAGAACCAACACCUUCAAGCCGCCAUGGAGCUCCCAUCCCUCCCCUGGAGUGCGUCAAGGUCCUUCUUCCCCUCCCCGCAGCAUGUAUCUCUCCUACUCCAUCAACUCUUGCUGUUCGUGAUGAUAAAUCCCAGCGUUUCUUGCUUUUUUCUGUUAUUAGAGAGUAGGAAACGUUGACACUUUAGGAAUUGCCAUUGUUAUUUACGCAUAGCAAGGAAUCCUGCCAAGAGAGCCUUGGUGAUGGGGUCACAAAGGACAGCAGCAGCAGAAAGAACAUUAACACCUCUAUCUGAAAAACAUCACUAAUUGUUAGCUUUUGGUAGGAAGACAUGUACGUAACCUAAGAUCAGAGUUUAACUAGAUAUAUAUACAACCUAAAGCAAAUCAAGGUUCAGAGAGGCACACUUACCUUUGGCAGCAGCUUUUUCUUGCUGUUGAUGUUGAUGAACACAGCAGUCACACGAAUAGAUAAAGCAUACAUAGAAGGAGAAGCUGUCCAAUAAAACUGAUGCAUGUUGACAGUUCCUCGAGUUCUCUUAAGAUGAUAUAAUUGUUUGGUAGACGCAUGGAUGGAUGGACACGUACAGCUAGCAGCCUAGCAGUGCUAGUCACAAAAGAAAAACCUUGUGAUUGAUUCAUGGUCAUGGCACAACAACAAUGGAUACUUGCUAAUUGGUGAUGGUGGUCGUGCCGCUGCCGCCUUCGGCACCAUCCCAGCUCGCAGCCUCAGUCGAUUUGCUCUGCGUCUCCAACCGUCCAAAGAUCCCAACCCUAUCAUCGUCUCCUACCACGAGCUCGGCAACGAGAUCGGACAUGGCAAGUUCGGCUCCGUUCGGAUCUAUGGUAGGAAGACCUGUGAAAUCCAACUCGCCGUUAGGCCUUUUCUGUCGCCUUCUCUCUGGUGGUCUUGGUUGUUGACCAUGGUUGCCUUGUUUUUGUGCUCGUACAACCGUUCAAGAGGUUCGUGCUGAUCGGGUGGGUGGCCCUGGUGAACUACGGCAAGGACUACGGCCGCCUCGUCGUCAUCGUCGACGUUGUUGACCAGAACAGGAACGUCGAGGACACGGUCCACCGCGAGGUCGAGAUCAUGCAACACCUCUCGGGCCACCCCGCCGUCGUCACGCUGAAGGCCAUCUGCGGUGGUUGCAAAUCGAAGCCUGAAAGGGACAAGGCGGUUGGGAGUCAGGGACUACAUAUCCCUCCUCUCCUUGAUUUUCUGUCCAAAAUAUAAGGAAGACGUAUGGGUUCUCGUCAAAUGCAAGCUGUACUACUGUGAAAAAGUGUACUAAUUUUUGCAGUGCAUUAACUUGAUCAUGGGAUUCUCCGUGAUGGCAGCAAAGAGACAACAUGGGGUGGAGAUGCAGGUCGUCAGUACACUGAAGGCGUUGCGUUCUGUCAGGGCGUUGGGUCCGAUGCAGAGCAUCGGAGACGUUGCCGUUGUCCUUGCACGACUCAUCAGAUCCAACCUCGGGCCCGCGCCAGCUAUGUACGGAGCCCUCGAUACGGUGCUCAGUCUCUGCAACUGCAACUUGAUGCCUUGCAUGAAGCUGCCAGCUAUUGAGGCCCUCUCUUAAUUACCCAGUUCUGAGUGGAGUCAGUUGGGGUCGUCUAUAAAUUUUCUUGUGAUGUGCUUGCAAACCAAGACUUUGUUGAGGCUUUUCUGCGGGGUCAGGGGAGACACCAGUGAUCAAGCGGCAGCGGCCUACAGCCUGGGAGACCUGCACAAGGGAGCCGCCAAGAUCUCCAACGACAUCCUCGACUCUGUCGGGGUUUCAGUAUAUGCAACAACAAAAAAUUCGACAACAGUAUACGCGAAAAAUGGUGCUAUUUGCGUUUGCUGCAAUCUCCUCAUACUUACCAAGGGUUGAGUGCCCAACAUUCCCGAAGAUGGCACCCGAGACGUGUCCGCAGCCAGAAGCAGCGAAGUUGCCGUACAAGAAGCUGGGAGAUUCAGAUCUCCUUAUUAGCGAGAUAACUCUUGGAACAAUGAUCUUUGGAUAGCAAAGAACAGAGAAGGAAUCCCAUGAUAUGCUCUCUUAUUCUUUUAAUCAGGGCAUCAACAUACUGGACACCGCAGAAAUUGCCGGAGACUCAAGGGAGGACUGAUCUAUAUGUAGGCAGGUGGAUGAAAUCCAAGCCACGAGACAAAGUACCCUAAACCGGCCUUAUAAUUUAUUUGCAGUUUUCUAAUCCAUUUGGAGUUCCCCGAUUCCCACUUCAGAUAGCAUGCUUCUGAAUCCAUUUGUCGUUCCCAGCUCACUAUAUUUCCGACUAGACAACUUUAGCCACCAAAAUUUCUGGUUAUUCAGAUCACACUUUUCAUCGGUACAAUGCAGAAAGGUGUGUGUUGAUGAUCCCAUUAUAAAGGAAAGUGUCGAAAAGAGCCUUUCAUGCUUAUCUAAAGACUACACUGAUUUUCUUUACAUACACUAGGUAGUGUUUAUUUCAAAGAUUAUUUUUGCUCAGAAUAAUUUUCACAUCUUGUUCCAGAUUGAUUCAUACACAAUCAUAUUUCACAUUUUGCAUUUCCUUACUGAACUUGAAAAUUGUAAAUCUGAGUUCUCUUUUCCAUCCUCUGUGAGUCCUUUUGUCGUCUUAUACAGACUGUUUUCAGCACACAUUCUUCAUGUUAAUUCUUUCAUUUUUCACAUAGAAUUUUUCAUACUUUGUUUGUAUUAAUAUGUCAUCAUUAUUAUUUUAUUUGACAAAAAAGACAACUUUGGCUCCAAAGUUUGCUUUAUGUCUUCAGGCUAGAUAGGUAUGUCGCACGUUACGGUGAAUUCAGUUACAAUUCAACCAAAUGGAGGCCAAGCGUCCCAUGUGUGGAUCAAUGGAAAGCUUUCAGGAACUAAUUGGUAAAGGGAAGGUACAAUAUAUCGGUGUUUCCAAUGAAACCACGUACGGAGUAAUGCAGUUUGUACAUGCUGCAAAGCUUGAUGGACUUCCAAAGAUUAUGAGCAUCUAGAAUGGUUAUAGUCAACUUGUGAGAUACAGCUUCGAAGGUGAAACAGAGAUGUCAGCCAUAAUUUAUUCAUUUUCAUUCACUGGAAUUCCAUGCCAUCCCUGUUGUUCUGAAACUUAUUUGCAGACAUGUAAUUUAGAGAAAGAGGGAGGAAAGAACUCCUCGGUUGUAGUUCAGAUCAUCGGCCUGCUGUCAUCUCUUUCAUAAUUAAAAUUUUAGUCGAAUAGUUAUGUUUAGUGGUUAUCAUUCAUCAUCAUCAUGAGAUGAUUUCAUUUUGUGGAUGCUUGAGUUUAGAAAAUUUAGGCUCUGCAGUCCAUCAUCUCUAUAGGUAUAAGUCUUUGUAGGAUGUAAGACUGCUACUCUAUGUUCAUAUAAGCCUACCUAUUAAUAAUAUUUCCGAUUUAUUUUAUAAA